GAUGAACGCUGGCGGUGCGCCUAAUACAUGCAAGUUGAGCGGUAACAUGCCUUCGGGUGAUGACGAGCGGCGAACGGCUGAGUAACACGUUGAUACCUACCCCGCACUCAGGGAUAACUUACUGAAAAGUAAGCUAAUACCGGAUGGUCUCGUAAGAGUAAAGCUUUUGCGGUGCGGGAGGGGUCUGCGGCCUAUCAGUUAGUUGGUAAGGUAAUGGCUUACCAAGACGAUGACGGGUAGCUGAUGUGAGAGCAUGAUCAGCCAGAAUGGGACUGAGACACGGCCCAU
rnacentral:rRNA from 1 species